GGCAUCAGCAGCAGCACACAGCUCAGUAGGGCAGCAGCACGCCAGCAGCUCAGCAGCAGGCAGCAGCAGCACGCCAGCAGCAGCAGGGCAGCAGCAAGCACGGCAGCAGCUCGCAGCAACGAACGGCGCGCGGAUGAGAUACGCGGCGAGUCCGCGCGUGUAGAAGUGCGCGCGCGGAUGAGUAGGAUAGCAAGUCCAGGUUUUUGACAAACAUGUUUAGCAAACUGUUGGAGAGAGUUUUUAUCAUUGAUUUACCAAAAUUUAUGAGAUAGCAAGUGUUUUAGCAAACUGUUGGAGAUGCUCUCAGGGUGCUAUACUGAUGAACAAGAAUACAGAUAAUCCAACCAUCAGUGUACCAAACCACCAAUUUGACAAUAUAUACAUCAAUUGAUGAGUCACAUUGUCUACGCGUCAACAGAAAUCCACACCAUCAGCGUUCUACUUGGAGCUGGUGACUGUGGUACACUGAUGUCCACUGCUAGAGGACUACAUGAAGUAUUAAAGGGAGUAGGCAUCCUUUGACAAAUUUGGAUGGAAUUAUAAAGUGUCUUGUUUGCACUAAAAUGGUAAUACUCACAUACCUUCUAUGCAUACAACUAGAGCUAUUUUUCUUCGUAAUCCAAUUGAACUCCUGUCAAAAAUUAGCUGUAUCAGGCCAACUGAAUUUCUGCAGUCAGAAGUUCAGGCCCGCUAUGAUUCAACCUUCCGACUCUAACACAUCGUUAGUGGUACUAAGUCCUAAAUACAAAGUGUUUGCUUCUUUGUCUGGUUUUUUACCCCUCUGCAGCAAUGCAAAUCAUUUAGCCACCUUGGGAUGAAACUAAUCAAAGCAAAUGGAUUGACCUGAAAACAGCAUUGUAUGUAAGCAAGCCGUGCAUAAAUCGGAAACGGACUGUCACAAAAAAAAAAAAAUCGGAAACGGCUAUAGGUUUGCAUCUGACUAUCUGAGUUUGAUGGCACUCUAGCAAGAAGCCAGAGCCGUCGUGAGCCACAUCAAAUGGGGUCUUAGAUACUCUAUAAUGUAUUCAGUUGUGAUAAAUUUUUCAAUUACUAUAUGUUUUCAUACUUUGCAUUGCACCUCUGUAGUUUUUAAUAUAGUAAUAUAUAUUUUGUUUAACCCUUAGCUUAAGUUAUAUCGGCUCAUCAUGGAUCUAUAUUUUGGUUUUUGACUUGUUGCAAUUUUUUAUACACAUAUUAAGUUGAAACUUAAUUAUGAUCCGAAGGGAGUGUUUAGUGUCAAGUCUUCCUACAUAAUGCGCAUUAAGAACUGGAUCCAAUGGUCAGGGAACGAGCAAUCUGGCAGCUGCUGAAAAUCCAACAAUGGGAGGCCUCUUUCAGUGGAUGAAAAAUUGGAAAUUUAGCUAUCCAAACAAACUGCAGAUGUUUGCUUGGCGUUUAGCCAUAAUAGUUUACUCCUGCACAAGAAAAUUCAGAGUAGAGGCUUCGAGCUGGACACCCUUUGGUCUUUGCCCCAUGUGUCACAGGCUCGAUGAAGAUGGUGGUCAUAUGUUCGUCAAAUGAGGAAUAAAAAAAGCCUAGGGCGAAGUCUGCUUUCAAAUUCAAAGGUACAUUAUUAAGUUUUGCCAUGGAUAGAAUGCAUGAUGAACUGGUGGAGCUUAAUGGCAAUGAUUCAAAUACAAGGAGGGUAUGGUCGUUUCUUCUGCUGAUGAUGAUCCUUGGGAGACAGUUGGACGAAAGAAAAAAAAAUCUGCAAUAACUGGAACUCGGAGUUUUGUUCCCUCUGAUCUAAGUGCUAUUUUUGGAGGGCAGCUACAGAGCGUUGUGAAAGCUGCAGGUAAAUUUGUCUUGUCGUGAGAGAGCGGACUCUGUUUUUCUGUAAAGAACUGAAUCUCUAUCUAGCUAUGCCUUUGAAAGAACUUGGAAAGUUGUGCCUUUUCAGUUUUUCUUGAUCUGUUAUGCCCGAUUAAUGUUUCCAUGAACACACAUUCCCUGUU